ensembl:ncRNA lncRNA:CR31044 long non-coding RNA::CR31044
AGUUUCAGUUUGUCCUGCGCCGUCGGCGUUGCGCGCCGCGUUUCUUCUGCUUCCGAGAAAGAAUUAAAGGGAUUUCAAGAAGAAAUCCCAUAAACAAAUAGUAGUUACUAAAAGUAAAGUAUUCAACGCGUGUUUUCUGCGUAUGGCGGGAGUGUGUGUGUGUGCCAUUCUAAACUCAAAUUUCCGUUGAUUACAAGCCAAGCUCACCCACACACAUGUACGCUCUCCAUCGCCAUCGCUCACAAAUUUGAGACUGCAUCGCCGAUGAAUACGAACGGAUGCAAGCAGCAUUUACAGUUCAAAUGUGCCGUCUAAUUAGAAAUGAUUUAAUUUCAAUAGCGAUUUAAUAAAAACGAAUUUGCGAAACGAAGCGACGCCGCCGCGUGUGUAUUUCGUAUAACAGACAGAAGAAGAACACAACAACAAGAGGGCAAGACAUACUUGAGAAAUAAAGCAAAACCAACAGCAACAACUAUUGCUAUCAACAUGAUUCUCUUUCGCUCGCUCUCCCGCUCUUUACCGUUUUGCUGUGCGCGUGUGUAAGCUUCGCUUUGUUAGUGUACGGGUAUGUAUAUAAGCGGGCGAGCAACACAAAAAAAAGACACGCUGAAUUUUCCCUAUAUUUUUGCGCCUGCCAAUAAGCGGUUCUUUUGCGGAGUUGCCACACCGCCGUGCAGAUCGUGGAAUUUUUAAUUGGAAUUGGGAAAGAUUCAUUGCGUACGCCUAUGUGUAUGUGUGUAGAGCUGAUAAGAAGCAGAGAAAGCUGAAAAGAGACGCCGCUUAUCAACGCUAAAAAGAAAAAAAAAAUCAAAAAAAGAAGGAGGAACAGAAACGAACUAAAUGGGUCGAGCACAUUGUCGUGUAUUGUGUUUUGCACUAUCGCUUAAUAAUUGAAAUUAAAGAGGAGGCGAGGGAAAUGGAGAACGCAAAAAUCCCAUUAUAAUGGAAUUGGGACUGGAGCUGGAAUUGGAAUUCAUACUACUGUUUUUAGUGGGUGGGGGUCCAGUGUUUCACAUUGAUUUUCUUAGUAUUUGUGACUAGAUCCACACUCAUUAAUAACGGUAGUUCAAUCAUCAAGCACGUGUUUUCUUGACAAACUUCGCGUGUACUUCAUUCGAAAAGCAAAGGGACAAACAGGUGGUGAUCUUUGAAAAAAAAAAAGAGACGCAAGGUAAUUAGUCAAUGUCUCGCACGCACACAACGUCAUUCAGACGGAACGACCGAAAAAAAAAGAAGGAAAAGAGCACCUGUUCGAGUGCACAAAAGAGAGGGAAAGAGAGCCCAAAAGGAAGAGCGAUAGCGGAAGAGCGACUUGAUUGCAGGCCCGAAAUAAAAUGAAAAUUAAUGCUAAUUUAGACCACUUUCGGGCCAAGCAAAACAGGCCCAGAACAAUGAUCCCCCAAAUUCAAAAUUAAUUGUAGCCAACUGCAAAGAACUGGGAAAAUUGUUAGCCUAACAACAAAGGUUAAAAGUUCAACAACUGUUGCCAGCUGAGUCACUGAUCUACGUACAGUUGCGGUGGAAAUAAUAGUGCUCUCAUUGCUCAGAUCAUACAAGAAAGUCAAUUAAGAGCAAAGAGAAAAUACAUAAAACAUAAUUUGUAUGCUUGAUAAAACUGAGUCAGUCCCCUUUUGUUUCCUUUAAAUUAUAUUUGAAUUAUGCUCAUCAUAUCCAUGGUUUUAAAAUAUUUCAAAACUAUUAUUUACCCCGCAACUGUCUUUUUUGUUAUAUUCCUCUGUAGUUCCGCCUCCCUAACUUGACUUUUUGCUCCGGUUUCUACCGGAACAAAUUGCUGAAAUACCAAAUUCUGAGAAGACACCGCUGUCGCAUAGUUUAGAUUAAUAGUUGUACAUGCAUUUGUAUACACCCCCAAACUUGACAAACAAUAAUUUCCAUCGAAUCGGGUGGCUGGCCUGUAUCACUCACUAUAUGUAUCGGAUUUUAUCCAACUCUGCUCUCUGUUUUUGUGCCCCGAUCAGCAGAAAUUCAAACUGCAGCGACGCCACAAUUCUUAAACAAUUCUCAAAGACGACGGCGAUUCUGAUUCCGAUUCCGAUUCUGUCGGCUUUUCGUCAGAGGAGAAUCAUGUUUGUGGGUGCAAGGGAGUGGUGGGAGGAGGAGGUGCCACAUAUUAUUGUAUAAAUCAGCAGAAAAAACGGCAAACUGCGGACGGGCGAACAAAAAAUAAUAAACCUUAAUUCGAAGCUCGGAGCUUGAUUCAUUCAUAUUACCCGGGGAUCCGGGCAAAAGUGGUGGUGGUGGCCGAAAAGGGUAAGGGGAACUGCUGACUGUGGCCACCCAAUUGAGCUAUGAAAACCGAUCAAACCGAUCGCAAUUGUUGGCAGGCACGAGAGCAAUGACAUGACAUGCAAACUACUAAGCCCCAAACGGAAAACCCAUUGUCCAAUGCCCAAUAUUCAAAACCCAAAACGAAAGAGAAAAACCAAAGCCAAAGCCAAACCCAAUCACCAAUCACAAAAAUGCCACAGAAAGUCGUGCAGGGGCAAUAAUCAUCAUCCGGGCGAGAAAGGAGCCCAAUAGUGGGGAUGUGGGGAAGGAUGCUCUUUUCUGACUCUAUUUUGUCGGCGAACAUGGAUCUAGUGCACGGUGGUUCAUGAUUAAGUUCGUGACUAGAUUUCAUGCUCGUCUAUUAAGUUGGGUCAGCACAACGAAGAGAGCGGAGCUUUCCAUCUCGCGGGGAUCGGAGGGAGUCGUUUUCCAACCCAACCCCUCCGGCUGAUUUGGCCAAUUAGCCAAACGCAUUAAUUAUGGGAAAAGUAUAUUUGAUUGACCCGUGACCCACAUCGAGUGGCACACGCCCCGCAGCAGCAGCAACUACCGAAAAAUGAGGGCGUGUUGCAAGAUACUCGUAGCAAGCGCCAAGCACCACUACAUGGAGUCAAUGGCCUGCUGUCCCGCAUGCUGCACAUGCGCUCAGUCCGGGAAAACAGCAGUAGCCUUGCCGAUUUGCGGUCCUUUAUCUGCCAAACGGACUGACAGCCGCCGCCGAAUGUGAAAAACCAAAGCCCACGGCAGUCAACGGUCCACCAAUUUAUGGGCUGGUGACACGCGAUUAAAAAUCGAAUCCGAGUGGCCCCUACAGAAACAGUGGCACAGGCACAGAAACAGAAACCCAGGCCACUGGGUACUGGGAACUUGGAACUGCAACGCCAAUAGAUUUUCGUGUGAAAACUCGGCGAGGGUUGUUGUUGUCGUUGUUACCGUGGCGCCUGCGGGCCAAAGGAAUGAAGCCGGAACACCUUUCAACCCCGUGGGCCAUUGUUAGUGCUCCGUGGCUAGGGAUAGAUGGCUACUGUAUGGCCACUUGCUGCACGGCCAUGAAGCUACUCCUCCCACACGAUUUGCUUCACGCUCAUUUAAAUGCCAACGCACCGCAGGGAGGAGAGAGCAGGGCACUUCACUUCGGCGGCUCGGCUGGCUUAUUUACAUAUUUUCUAAAUGAAUAUGGGCCCCGCGAGUUUGCAACCCCGACCGGCGGUGGCAAAGCCGAGAAGCGCAUUCAGUUGCAACGGCCGCGGCAGCUGGCUUUCCCUGCACUGGAUUUCCACUUCCUCCUGGUCGAAGCAGCCGCAGCAGCAGCAGCAAUAACAAUCAGGAACAGCAGCAGCAGCAGCAACAAGAAGCCGUCAAACGCCGCAACUAAUUGAUAUAAUAGUUAAAAGAACAAACUAACGAGAAAGAGGUUGUCGUCGUCGAACGCGGCGCGUUGGAGAAGUGCAAAACCUUUCCAAUUUGAAAAUAGUUUUCCUGCUAUGUGUGCUCGUUCCCACAAGCGCGGCAAUACCAACUCAUACCAACCCACGGCUCCAACACCACCAGAUGCAGCAACAACUGCAUCAACAGCAACAUCGGCUCAGAACAAGCACAAGCAGCGAAAGCCUGCACUUCGCCAAGCGGUGAUUGGGAAAAGGGGCUGCAGCUGGAGUUGGAGUUGCAGCCAGAGUAGAAGCUGGAGCUGGAGCUGGAGAAGAUGACAAUGCAGCGAUUAGAGCAAUGCAGAACUUGAACUCUACGACGGCGGCAGCUGGAAAAAUGUUUGCCCCGAUCCCCGGGACACCGACUCAGUCACUCAGUCCGUCCCAAUGCGCGGCAUUUCCGUUCGGAAAAAAAAGAGGAUGCUGUCGAGAAGGAAGGCCCUCGAUCGAUUCGAUGCUGAUGCAUUCUGCAGGGGUGGGGGGAACGUAGUGAUCAUGUUUGUAGCAUCUAAAUAAAGUACCUGUAAUGGUUUUCAUUAAGUAAUGCGUCGUCUUUGGCUUCUUGGUUUAUGAACACGGCAAAUAUUUAAUGUGAGAUAAAAAAUGUUCAAUAUUCAGAUCAUUGACCUAAACAACAGAAGAACUUAAGGAUGUCAACAAUAUAUAAACUUCACAAAUACUGCUUUCUUUGACGUUGUAAUAUAAAUAAAACGUUUUUAUAUU